GACGAACGCUGGCGGCGUGCUUAACACAUGCAAGUCGAACGGAAAGGCCCUGCUUUUGUGGGGUGCUCGAGUGGCGAACGGGUGAGUAACACGUGAGUAACCUGCCCUUGACUUUGGGAUAACUUCAGGAAACUGGGGCUAAUACCGGAUAGGAGCUCCUGCUGCAUGGUGGGGGUUGGAAAGUUUCGGCGGUUGGGGAUGGACUCGCGGCUUAUCAGCUUGUUGGUGGGGUAGUGGCUUACCAAGGCUUUGACGGGUGGCCGGCCUGAGAGGGUGACCGGCCAAGUGGGGAAGGGGACACGGCCGAGGCGCGUCGGGGGGGAUGGGGUGGGGAAUGUGGCAGAAAGGGGGAGAGCGUGACGAAGGCACGCGGGUUGCGGAGUGCUGGCCUUCGGGUUGAAAACCCUUGUGGCUGGUAACGAAGGGGAGGGACGGGAAAUUGGGAAAAAAGCACGGGUAAAUUCGGG
rnacentral:rRNA from 1 species